UCCGGUGUAGUUCAGUAGGCAGAAUAACACGCUGUUGACGCGGAGGUCGCAGGUUCGAGUCCUGCCGCCGGAG
rnacentral:tRNA from 1 species